GCGGACAGAUGGGAGCUUGCUCCCUGAUGUUAGCGGCGGACGGGUGAGUAACACGUGGGUAACCUGCCUGUAAGACUGGGAUAACUCCGGGAAACCGGGGCUAAUACCGGAUGCUUGAUUGAACCGCAUGGUUCAAUUAUAAAAGGUGGCUUUUAGCUACCACUUACAGAUGGACCCGCGGCGCAUUACCUAGUUGGUGAGGUAACGGCUCACCAAGGCAACAAUGCGUAGCCAACCUGAAAGGGUGAUCGGCCACACUGGGACUGAAACACGGCCCAAACUCCUACGGGAGGCAGCAGUAGGGAAUCUUCCGCAAUGGACAAAAGUCUGACGGAGCAACGCCGCGUGAGUGAUGAAGGUUUUCGGAUCGUAAAACUCUGUUGUUAGGGAAAAACAAGUACCGUUCAAAUAGGGCGGUACCUUGACGGUACCUAACCAAAAAGCCACGGCUAACUACGUGCCAGCAGCCGCGGUAAUACGUAGGUGGCAAGCGUUGUCCGGAAUUAUUGGGCGUAAAGCGCGCGCAGGCGGUUUCUUAAGUCUGAUGUGAAAGCCCCCGGCUCAACCGGGGAGGGUCAUUGGAAACUGGGGAACUUGAGUGCAGAAGAGGAGAGUGGAAUUCCACGUGUAGCGGUGAAAUGCGUAGAGAUGUGGAGGAACACCAGUGGCGAAGGCGACUCUCUGGUCUGUAACUGACGCUGAGGCGCGAAAGCGUGGGGAGCGAACAGGAUUAGAUACCCUGGUAGUCCACGCCGUAAACGAUGAGUGCUA
rnacentral:rRNA from 1 species